rnacentral:rRNA from 1 species
UACGUAGGGGGCGAGCGUUGUCCGGAAUUAUUGGGCGUAAAGAGCGUGUAGGCGGUUCGGUAAGUCUGCCGUGAAAACCUGAGGCUCAACCUCGGGCGUGCGGUGGAUACUGCCGGGCUAGAGGAUGGUAGAGGCGAGUGGAAUUCCCGGUGUAGCGGUGAAAUGCGCAGAUAUCGGGAGGAAGGCCGGUGGCGAAGGCGGCGCUCUGGAGCGUUCCUGACGCUGAGGCUCGAAAGCGUGGGGAGCAAACAGG